UGAAUGAGCAAAUUUUCGUCAUUGUUUUUAAAUUAAUUGUUUUAUCUUAAAAAAAUAAGUUUCACAAUGCCAUCACCAACAAAAUCCAGCAGAGAAACUGAACAUCAUCGUACGUAGCUUUCAAAUGCAAACAGGAAAAUGAAAACCGAGAAUAAAGUAUGAUAUUAAAAGUAUAUUGGAGAAAGAGAUUAAGGCCACGGAUAAGUCUCAGAAUGUGCAGGAUUACCAGGGGAUCAUUGAUGCGGCGAAGACGAGUGCGAAGGCAAAACAUUUUUCGCAUUGGUAAUUGCUAUAACGAAAGAUCUUCCUGAUGUUGAAGGAGAUUGCAAGUCUCAAAUAUCAACCUCUGCUACAAAAUUAGGAGUUCGGAACAUUGCUUUCCUUGGUUAUGGAAUUUUGCUGAUGAACUAUAUUGUUUCAGUAUUGGCAGCGGUUUACAUGCCUCAGGGAAAGAAGGGGAUUUGGCUUAGAUUGCCUUUAGAGAAGUCUGACCUUGUUCCAAUAGCUAAUAAGGAAGGCUUUGGAUACCACCAUGCGGAACCAGGGUAUGUCAUGUUAACAUACUGGAUUUCUGAAGGACCUUCCAUGCUUCAAGUCAAUGGUUCACACAUCAUGUAGGAGUUGGGUGAUCUGUCAUCAAUUACAGAAAUGAGUAUAGAUGGGUGGAAGCGAAGUCAAGAAGAGAGUUGGUAAUGGCAUUAUGUUAGAUUUAACCAAAGAAUUGUGGAAGCGCGUCACAGCUGAGAACUUUUGCAUUACAUUCACCAUCUGAUAAAGUCAAACGCAACAACACUUGCCAGAAAUCUUUGAGAUGUCUUUUAUUUAUGUUUGGCCUUGGUUUCUUUCUUCCCAAUUGCCAUUUUUUAUGCUUAAACCGUCGGUGUAGAUUCAGCUUAUAACACAUCCUUUUCAACA